rnacentral:tRNA from 1 species
GCCCCAGUAGCACAGUGGAUAGUGCAAUGGUUUCCUAAACCAGAGGUCGGGAGUUCGAGUCUCUCCUGGGGCA